rnacentral:rRNA from 1 species
GAAUCCGCYAAGGAGUGUGUAACAACUCACCUGCCGAAUGAAUUAGCCCUGAAAAUGGAUGGCGCUUAAGCGGGCAGCCGACACCAUGCCGUCUGAUCAAAGUGGAGACUAUCAGAUGAGUAGGAGGGCGUGGCGGUCGUAUCGAAGCGUGCGCGCGAGCGCUCGUGGAACGGCCGCUAGUGCAGAUCUUGGUGGUAGUAGCAAAUAUUCAUGUGAGAUCCCUGAAGGGCGACGCGGGGUAGGGUUCCACGCGAACAUUGAUUGAGCGUGGGUGAGUCGUUCCUAAGCCGUUUGGCAAUAGCUAAACUAUCGGCGAAAGGGAAGCGGGUUGACAUUCCCGCACACGGAUGUGGAAGCGGUGACGCACUACUGGGACGAUAACGCUGGCGGUGGCACUAGGCAGAGAUUUCUUUUCUGUUUGACCGGACCGUUGUGCGCUGUGUGGAGACUGCUUGUCAGGAGAAACACGCGUGCUCGGGCAGAGCGCCGGGACUUUUCCGGCGUCUAGUUCGCUACCGACCGCCCUUGAAACAUCGUCUGCUGGCAAGGGUAGAGCCUAGUGUUCUACUUUUGUGUGAAAAAUCCACGCCGUAACGUACCGAUAACCGCAUCAGGUCCCCUAGGUGAACAGCCUCUGUCCAGUAUGAACAAUGCAGGUAAGGGAAGUCGGCA